CAAAAACAUAAACAUAAACUCAUUCAGUCAGCCAUCAGCACCUGGAUUAAUUCUGGAUUAAAGCUAUCACACGGUGUUUAAAAUGGACACGAUAUCCUCAGUGUUCAGGACGAGAAGGCCGUCUGUCUCAGAUCAGACAGACUCGUCUCGUGGACCCUGAUUGGUCCAAACCAAUGAAGAGAGAAGAUGGAGGGGGGUGUGCCUGUGAUGUGGAAUAGAUGAAGCUUCAUGAUUGGCUGAGACUGGAAAUGAAUGAAGAAGGAUCACGGACUGGCACGGCCAUGACACGAGCAUCGUGACAGCGACAGUGCUGGAGGAAGUGAGUGUUUUAUAACCCUGUAAUCAGGAGCUGCUGUCAGGAGAAGAAUCCCACUGUGACUCAUCGUUCUUUGCUCCGUCCGGUUCCUCCACCAGCACACAGAACCUGUGAGUGAGGAGGCGAGGUUCUAAUCGAGGGUCACAGGGGCACCUGGAUCCUAUUCCAGGGAGCAUUGGGCACCAGGCAGGGUACACCCUGGACAGGGUGCCAGUCCAUCGCAGGGCACACUCACACACCCAUUCAUACACUACGGACACUUUAGACACGCCAAUCAGCCUACCAUGCAUGUCUUUGGACUCCAGUGGAAACCAGAGUACCCGGAGGAAACCCCCGCAGCACGGGGAGAGCAUGCAAACUCCGCACACGGCCCCAGCGGGACUCGAACCCUGGACUCUGGAGCUUGAUCCUCAUCUAAAGAUCGACUUUACUCAAAAUGGCAGCCAAGUGGAUUCAACCAAGGGGAAGUGGAGAGUCCUACUGGAAGCAGAUUCCGCAGUCUGGCUCGCUAAAGAUUGGUCAGAAAAGAAGUCACACAAUUUCAUCAGAAGGAGAAGUGGAAGUGUUGAAGUAAUAAGCAUGGUUACACGUACAGCUCGGUUUUCUGCACAUGAGGACAGGAAACUGCGUAAACACUGGUGUGAUCCGGCCGGUCGUGCUGCUGAAGUUUAC
ensembl:lncRNA